GGGCGAGAAGCUUGCUUCUCUGAUGUUAGCGGCGGACGGGUGAGUAACACGUGGAUAACCUACCUAUAAGACUGGGAUAACUUCGGGAAACCGGAGCUAAUACCGGAUAAUAUUUUGAACCGCAUGGUUCAAAAGUGAAAGACGGUCUUGCUGUCACUUAUAGAUGGAUCCGCGCUGCAUUAGCUAGUUGGUAAGGUAACGGCUUACCAAGGCAACGAUGCAUAGCCGACCUGAGAGGGUGAUCGGCCACACUGGAACUGAGACACGGUCCAGACUCCUACGGGAGGCAGCAGUAGGGAAUCUUCCGCAAUGGGCGAAAGCCUGACGGAGCAACGCCGCGUGAGUGAUGAAGGUCUUCGGAUCGUAAAACUCUGUUAUUAGGGAAGAACAUAUGUGUAAGUAACUGUGCACAUCUUGACGGUACCUAAUCAGAAAGCCACGGCUAACUACGUGCCAGCAGCCGCGGUAAUACGUAGGUGGCAAGCGUUAUCCGGAAUUAUUGGGCGUAAAGCGCGCGUAGGCGGUUUUUUAAGUCUGAUGUGAAAGCCCACGGCUCAACCGUGGAGGGUCAUUGGAAACUGGAAAACUUGAGUGCAGAAGAGGAAAGUGGAAUUCCAUGUGUAGCGGUGAAAUGCGCAGAGAUAUGGAGGAACACCAGUGGCGAAGGCGACUUUCUGGUCUGUAACUGACGCUGAUGUGCGAAAGCGUGGGGAUCAAACAGGAUUAGAUACCCUGGUAGUCCACGCCGUAAACGAUGAGUGCUAAGUGUUAGGGGGUUUCCGCCCCUUAGUGCUGCAGCUAACGCAUUAAGCACUCCGCCUGGGGAGUACGACCGCAAGGUUGAAACUCAAAGGAAUUGACGGGGACCCGCACAAGCGGUGGAGCAUGUGGUUUAAUUCGAAGCAACGCGAAGAACCUUACCAAAUCUUGACAUCCUUUGACAACUCUAGAGAUAGAGCUUUCCCCUUCGGGGGACAAAGUGACAGGUGGUGCAUGGUUGUCGUCAGCUCGUGUCGUGAGAUGUUGGGUUAAGUCCCGCAACGAGCGCAACCCUUAAGCUUAGUUGCCAUCAUUAAGUUGGGCACUCUAAGUUGACUGCCGGUGACAAACCGGAGGAAGGUGGGGAUGACGUCAAAUCAUCAUGCCCCUUAUGAUUUGGGCUACACACGUGCUACAAUGGACAAUACAAAGGGCAGCGAAACCGCGAGGUCAAGCAAAUCCCAUAAAGUUGUUCUCAGUUCGGAUUGUAGUCUGCAACUCGACUACAUGAAGCUGGAAUCGCUAGUAAUCGUAGAUCAGCAUGCUACGGUGAAUACGUUCCCGGGUCUUGUACACACCGCCCGUCACACCACGAGAGUUUGUAACACCCGAAGCCGGGGUUU
rnacentral:rRNA from 1 species